rnacentral:rRNA from 1 species
CCUACGGGAGGCAGCAGUGGGGAAUAUUGGGCAAUGGGCGCAAGCCUGACCCAGCAACGCCGCGUGAAGGAAGAAGGCUUUCGGGUUGUAAACUUCUUUUCUCAGGGACGAAGAAAGUGACGGUACCUGAGGAAUAAGCCACGGCUAACUACGUGCCAGCAGCCGCGGUAAUACGUAGGUGGCAAGCGUUAUCCGGAUUUAUUGGGUGUAAAGGGCGUGUAGGCGGGAGCGCAAGUCAGAUGUGAAAACUCAGGGCUCAACCCUGAGCCUGCAUUUGAAACUGUGUUUCUUGAGUGCUGGAGAGGCAAUCGGAAUUCCGUGUGUAGCGGUGAAAUGCGUAGAUAUUAGGAGGAACACCAGUGGCGAAGGCGGUCUGCUGGACAGCAACUGACGCUGAGGCGCGAAAGCGUGGGGAGCAAACAGGAUUAGAUACCCGGGUAGUC